AACGAACGCUGGCGGCAUGCCUAACACAUGCAAGUCGAACGAGCCCUUCGGGACUAGUGUCGCAUGGGUGCGUAACGCGUGGGAACCUGCCCUUAGGGUCGGAAUAACUCCCCGAAUGGGGUGAUAACGCCGGACAAUGUCUACGAACCAAGGAUUUAUCGCCUUUGGUUGGGCCCGAGUUGGAUUCGCUUGUUGGUAGGGUAAGAGCUUACCAAGGCGACGAUCCAUAGCUGGUUUGAGAGGAUGAUCAGCCACACUUGGAUUGAGACGCGGCCCGGACUCUUACGGGAUGCAGCAGUGGGUAAUAUUGGACAAUGGGCGAAGUGCUGAUCCAGCACUGCCGCGUGAGUUAUGAAGGCCGUGAAGUUGAAAAGCGCAUGUACCCGGGAUGAUAAUGACAGUACCGGAAGAAUAAGCUCCGGCUAACUCCGUG
rnacentral:rRNA from 1 species